GACGAACGCUGGCGGCGUGCUUAACACAUGCAAGUCGAACGAAAAUACCAAGCUUGCUUGGUUGAUUAGUGGCGAACGGGUGAGUAACACGUGAGUAACCUGCCCCUUACUUUCCUGGAUAACUGCUCGAAAGGGUAGCUAAUUCGGGAUAUUCUGACCAGCCUGCAUGGGUUGGUUUGGAAAGGUUGUUUUUCUGGUAAGGGAUGGGCUCGCGGCCUAUCAGCUUGUUGGUGGGGUGAUGGCCUACCAAGGCUUGGACGGGUAGCCGGCCUGAGAGGGUGGACGGUCACACUGGGACUGAGAUACGGACCAGACUCCUACGGGAGGCAGCAGUGGGGAAUAUUGCACAAUGGGCGCAAGCCUGAUGCAGCGACGCCGCGUGAGGGAUGAAGGCCUUCGGGUUGUAAACCUCUUUCGUCAGGGAACAAGGCACUGCUUUUUUGGUGGUGUUGAGGGUACCUGGAUAAGAAGCGCCGGCUAACUACGUG
rnacentral:rRNA from 1 species